CUCCCAACAGGGGGAGCAUGACGCCUUUCAAGGAGGUCCUCAACACUCUCCCAAAAGAGCUGAGCAGUGCCAGUUAACUUCAAACUGGCAAAUUGUACCCUCCGAUCUUCCGGGACCCCAUACCAUGCAAAGAAGCGAUCCAUAUCUCUAACCCAUUGAUUGAAGGCACUAGGAUCUAGACAGCCGUCAAACGUAGGGGCAUCCAACUUAAUAUUUCGAAAGAGGCGCUCUUCGUGGCGAGGGGGAGAUUGUGUACCAUGACGGUAAUAUCCCCGCUCUCGUUCCCAAGCCUGAUUCCCUUCCCUACGACCAUGUCGGGCGUGGUGUCGACCACCUUGUGGGCGACGAUGAGGCCUAUUAAUGGAAGCCUCAGAGUUCUCAGCCUCAGUCGAAUAUGGGAGUGGGUCAAGAGUAUUCAACCUAGCGGUUAGGGCUCUAUUCUCUUCACGAGUAGCGGCUACCUCAGUUUGGACAGCUGUUAGUUGAUUUUGUAAUUGUGCAAGCUGUCUGGUGAGGGCCUCAAUUUGGGCGGGGUCCAUGGUUAGGUUACUAGAGCUAGAGGCAGUAACGCGACCACUACGCAAUUGCAUACACGGUAACACGACUACGUAAAGUGCACCACUGAGAUCAAUAAUCAACAAUCAACUAGUGCCAACCGAAAAAUUAGUUAUUGAAAUUAUUAUUAUUAUUAUUUAUUUAUUUAUGUAUUUAUUAUGUUAUUUUGUCAAUUUAAAGGUUGGGGUUACUUAUGGCUCGAUCGCAAGCUAAUACUACUAAUGCUAAUAAAAUAGAAAAGCAAAUGUCCAAAUUCUAGAUCUAGUCAUGUAGGGUAAACGAUUGAGUAGUGGAAUUUAGUUCGUGAAAUAUAAUCGAAUAGGUUUAAGGCAGUAUUAUCAAAGGGCUAGUACAUAUCAAUGAAAUUUAGUUCGUGAAAUACAAUCAAACAGGUUGAAGGCAAUAUUAUCAAAUGGUCAGCACACAACGAAUUAAUUGAUGCAAUUCUAAAAUAAAGAAAUAGCGUCAACUAAAAUAAAUAGGAUCAGGAACUCCCUGAGUACUGUUGGUUUGAGUCGUCCCAGCGUCGAAUGUCUCCACGUUCUGAACUCCUAAGCCCUGAGAUGCCAAGAUAAAAUUCCGUGCUCGUCGAGGUGCGGUACUGAACAGUCAACUAAAAUGAACCUGUAAAUGAUGUCAGAAAAUUUAAAAUUCACGAUACUUUUUUUUUUUUUUUUUUUUUUAAUACAAACUCAGAAUAACAAAAUAAUAAAUGAGCCCAUUUUACAAAUUUGGGCCUAAAUUACAAUCAAAAUCUCAAUCAAGCCCAAGCCCAAUUAAUAAUUAAUAACCAACCCACUCAAUUAAUAAAUCAAUUAAUUAACCCAACCCAACAAUAAAAUAAAACCCAUACAACGAUCACUCAACCCGUAAACAACUCUGUUUACACUCCAAGCCAAGACAGGGGUCGACCGGCGGCGAGGUGGGCGAC
rnacentral:lncRNA from 1 species